UACGGGGGGGGUAAGCGUUGUUCGGAAUUACUGGGCGUAAAGGGCGCGUAGGCGGCCUACUAAGUCGGACGUGAAAUCCCUCGGCUCAACCGGGGAACUGCGUCCGAUACUGGUGGGCUCGAAUCCGGGAGAGGGAUGUGGAAUUCCAGGUGUAGCGGUGAAAUGCGUAGAUAUCUGGAGGAAUACCGGUGGCGAAGGCGGCAUCCUGGACCGGCAUUGACGCUGAACGGCGAAAGCUAGGGGAGCAAACGGG
rnacentral:rRNA from 1 species